rnacentral:tRNA from 1 species
GAAGGUAUAGCUCAGUGGUAGAGGGCAUGCCUAGCAUGCGUGAGGUCCUGGGUUCGAUCCCCAGUCCCUCCA